AAAAGGGGAGAGAGAAGCAGAAAAAUAGCUAACAGAUGUUAACUCCCCAAUGAAUCUCUUGAAUCCUUAACUUCAUAUCAGCAUCUGCUUCGGAGAAUCCAACCUAGACAAGGUCCAAGAUGUAAAGUAAUAGAACAUUGUUUAUAUUAUAAAAUGUUGUUAAAUGACUACAGCUGUCCUCUCAGGUGAGGAAAGAGUGAAGAUGGGCAAUAUAUAAAAUGGAGCCACUCUAACCAAGCUGCUAAAAUUAUUAACAUUAUGAAGGUUGAGGCAUGAGGAAAGACUCCAUUCUUGUUCUAACCAGCCUGGGAACGCAAACUUUGUUUGAACUUUCUAGUUCUAUGUCAAUGCCUGGGUAUACAUCUGGACCGCCAACUAACUAGAAAAUUAUCCCAUGAAGGGCUCAAUAUCCAGGCCAGCUGACUACCCUCUGAAGGACUCACAUAUACAUCUACCAGACAUCCAUUAUCCAGACCAGCCUGCGACUGACCAGACCUCCUGGUACGCAUCUUCCGGACCACCAGGCAUCCGUAAUCCUGACUGCCUGAUAUCUGAUUGAUAAUGUAGGACCAAUCAUAGGGCUAAGCGUACAGGACUGAUAGUUCUUAAGAAUGUACUUCUUACUAUAAGAACUUUUAAUUUUGCUUUCUUCUUUGGGACACUUCUG